GCGCGGAGCCCGGUGCGCUCCCGAUCUGCCGUGAGCAGAGCAGAGAACAGCAUCGCUGCCCGGCUGGGUGGGAAACCCGAGCGCAAUUCCUGGGAGACAUCGAGGGCAUGGGGAGCUGAGCUUUUGGCAGCGGGAAUUGGGGUUAGAAUUACUGUUUAGCAGUCACAUCAAGGAGUUAUAUGUAUUGACACGUUCCACAGGACUCCCACAAGAAGUGAGUCCACUGAGUCCUCAUGGCACACUCAAAGAUCUUGCUGAGCUUCUGCUGCAACAGGACUUCAAUGUCUGUGAUCCAACAUCCAUCUGGGACCAUCAGUGCAGUGUGACCUUGGCUCAGUUUUACUGAGAAAAAUCUUGUAAAAUGAGAAAGUAUGCCAUGAAGUCCAGCAAGGUUUUGGACAAGAAAAUACUAACUUCUGUGGAGACCUUUUGACAAGAUGUUUUUGUGACUUCUUCCAUAAUGAAAAAGAUGAGUUUUCCCUGCUAGAAGACAUAUGCUGAAGAUAGAUCUUGCAGACUCAUCUUUCAGCUGUCUUUUGAUGCACAGUGUUUGAAGUGAACACUCCAUGAAAAGUUUUCCCUGUCUAUCUACCAGAUAUCAGCAGAAUGUUUCCUCCUGGUGGGCACUGCAGGUUCUCACUGCAAGCAGGUAGAGGAAAGAUGAAGGGAUAGACUGUGCUUUAUCUUUAAGCCUCAGAACUAACAAUAAUUCAUAAGUCUAGACAGGAAAGGGAGAAAGGGAGAAGGAGAGAACCUAU